AGGGGCGGUCCAGCUUACUAUCACAACCAGCGUGGGCCCCGUAAACCGGCUCGAUCCAGUCGAUCUAGAUCGGUAGCGCCAAAAGAAGUGAAGGCGUCUAAAGNCCCGUUCGCCGGGGCGGCAGCACCCGCUGAUUACGCAAAACCUGUCAAAGCAAGCGGUCAAUAACCUCCGGCGCAUCCCGAGAGUCCUGCGUGAUCCGCACAGCCAGUAUAAGAUA
rnacentral:misc_RNA from 1 species